UACGUAGGGUGCAAGCGUUGUCCGGAAUUAUUGGGCGUAAAGAGCUUGUAGGCGGUUUGUCGCGUCUGCUGUGAGAUUUCGGGGCUCAACCCCGAACUUGCAGUGGGUACGGGCAGACUAGAGUGUGGUAGGGGAGACUGGAAUUCCUGGUGUAGCGGUGAAAUGCGCAGAUAUCAGGAGGAACACCGAUGGCGAAGGCAGGUCUCUGGGCCACUACUGACGCUGAGAAGCGAAAGCAUGGGGAGCGAACAGG
rnacentral:rRNA from 1 species